GAAGUUCCUCCGACCGUCCAGUUCGAGG
rnacentral:sRNA from 1 species